UACGGGGGAGCAAGCGUUGUUCGGAUUUACUGGGCGUAAAGGGCGCGUAGGCGGUAGCACAAGUCAGUUGUGAAAUCUCCGGGCUUAACUCGGAAAGGUCAACUGAUACUGUGCGACUAGAGUGCAGAAGGGCAACUGGAAUUCUCGGUGUAGCGGUGAAAUGCGUAGAUAUCGAGAGGAACACCUGCGGCGAAGGCGGGUUGCUGGGCUGACACUGACGCUGAGGCGCGAAAGCCAGGGGAGCGAACGGG
rnacentral:rRNA from 1 species